GACUGUGCGAAGGUAGCAUAAUAAUUUGCCUUUUAAUUAGGGGAUGGAAUGAAUGGUUAGACGAGGGUAGAACUGUCUCAUAUAUAUUUAUUAGAAGUUGAUCUUUAGGUUAAAAAGCCUAAAUUACAUUAAAGGACGAGAAGACCCUAUUAAGCUUAAAAAAAUACUAUAGCUAUUACUAUACUGCUAAAUGUAACGUUAAUAGUAAUAUUUUAGUUGGGGCGACUUGGGAGUAAACAAAACCUCCUUUGGUUUAAAUAAAACUUAAUUUAUGGUCCAAAAGAUUUUGAGGUAAGAACAAGUUACUAUAGGGAUAACAGCGUAAUUUUAUUUGAGAGUUCUAAUCGAAAAUAAAGUUUGCGACCUCGAUGUUGGAUUAAGAAGUAGUGAAGGUUGCAGAA
rnacentral:rRNA from 1 species